ACGAACUCUCUCACUCCCUCACUAAAGCUCUCCUUCAUCCCCUUCUCCACCUCACGACCGUCGGUCAAUUCUAGCCACCGCUAGUGAGAACCGUAGCUUUCCAGCACCGCUCUCUCAGCCCACACUACCUCCUCCAUCGAGUGAAUUCAACAUGUUCGUUCCUGAGCGGCCCUACAUCGUGGAUCUGGUCCCAUGUUGUCGUGGAUGUGGUCGUUGACCUUGACGGCGCACGGUCGCCAUGGCCGUGGCCGCUUGCGUUGUGUGCGCAAGAAGCAGAACCGCAUCACGCAGAUGGAUUAGGCGAUCUGCGUCGCCGUCGACAUGACGCUUAACCAGGAGCAGAAGUAGGUGAUGCGCUCAAGCCCACCUUCGCCACCAUCGAGCGCCUUGCUUCCGUAGUGGGUGUCUCUAGCCGCGACGCACUCCAGGCAUGUGGCCAUCAUGCCCACUUAUGGCUCGCCCACGCCGAUGAGCCGAUCCACCCUGGCUCCUCUGUUACUUGCAUUUUGGUGUGGUGAGGGCUAAGUUGGACAUGAUAAUGGCAUUAGACUACUACACAGCAGCUGCAGUUGGAGGGAGCUACGGAGCUGAAGAUGUGCAGGCACAGGAGAGUAUUACAAUCCAGGAGAACCUAGCUGCUGAAGGUCACAAGGACAACUCCUUGAUACCCAGCAAACAUAAAAAUGUAUAUAAACUGGAAGUAUUGUGUGCAAGAAACCGAGGUGGGAUUAAAACAAACCAACCUUUGCAUCUACUAUCCAAACCGAUAUGGAGACGUGGGGGCUCCAUCGUCACAUUAUUGACUUACUCCGUCACCUCAGCUGGACCGGAGGCUUCACCAUCGCUUCAUUAACCCACUCUGGGGACAUCGGCGUCACCAGCCGACUAGCUCCGUCAUCUCGGUUGGACUGGGGGCUUCACCUCAUCGCAUCGGCAGUAUUGUGCCAUCACCUCAUCAAGCCGAGCUCUUUGCUCAGGCACCUUGGGACUGGCUUGGGGGCUGGGUCCUCGUCCCGCCGCAAGCUCGGCGUGUGUCAUCAUCACUGAGCACAUUAACCAGCUAAGUCGUUUUCAUGCUCAAAUUUUUUAAUUCGUUCGGUUCGACCAAACUUUAUAUUUAUGUUAAACAAAAGACUUAGUUUGUUAAAAAAAGUUAUUUGUUAACAACACUUCCUUUACCCAAGUUAACUGGGGGCUCUUAAAUUUGUACGAGCCGUUCUAUAAUAAUUGUUUUCUUCUUAGUCA